UACGUAGGGGGCUAGCGUUGUCCGGAAUCAUUGGGCGUAAAGAGCGUGUAGGCGGCUCGGUAAGUCCGCUGUGAAAGUCCAGGGCUCAACCCUGGAAUGCCAGUGGAAACUGUCGAGCUAGAGUCCGGAAGAGGCGAGUGGAAUUCCUGGUGGUAGCGGUGAAAUGCGCAGAUAUCAGGAGGAACACCGGUGGCGAAGGCGGGAUCCUGGGCCAGUACUGACGCUGAGGAGCGAAAGCGUGGGGAGCAAACAGG
rnacentral:rRNA from 1 species